rnacentral:rRNA from 1 species
UACAGAGGGUGCAAGCGUUGUUCGGAAUUACUGGGCGUAAAGCGCGUGUAGGUGGCGAUGUAAGUCGGGUGUGAAAUCCCUUGGCUCAACCAAGGAAGUGCACUCGAUACUGUGUCGCUUGAGUACUGGAGGGGAUGGCGGAAUUCCCGGUGUAGAGGUGAAAUUCGUAGAUAUCGGGAGGAACACCUGUGGCGAAGGCGGCCAUCUGGACAGUCACUGACACUGAGACGCGAAAGCGUGGGGAGCGAACAGG